rnacentral:tRNA from 1 species
AAGGGGGGAAACGGAAAUCAAACCCGGGACCUCAGGGUUAUGACCCUCGGGAGCUACCAAACUGCUCUACUCCG